rnacentral:rRNA from 1 species
UACGUAGGGACCGAGCGUUGUCCGGAAUCAUUGGGCGUAAAGAGCGUGUAGGCGGCUAUUUAAGUCCUGCGUGAAAUCCUGCGGCUCAACCGCAGACGGUCGUGGGAAACUGGAUGGCUAGAGUGCGGGAGAGGAGAGUGGAAUUCCCGGUGUAGCGGUGAAAUGCGCAGAUAUCGGGAAGAACACCCGUGGCGAAGGCGGCUCUCUGGAACGCAACUGACGGCUGAGACGCGAAAGCGUGGGGAGCAAACAGGG